AACCCUCCCGUGAGCCAGCGGGAUAGAGAGAAAGACAAAGACCGGAAAAACUAAAGCGCCCUUAUGUGGCGCUUUAGUUCU
rnacentral:ncRNA from 1 species